ACUCGGCUGCGGUGGACAAGU
rnacentral:miRNA from 1 species